rnacentral:rRNA from 1 species
AGCUCCAAUAGUGUAUACUAAAGUUGUUGCGGUUAAAAAGCUCGUAGUCGUAUCUUUGAUUUUUGAGGUACUGGCUCCACCCUGAGGGGUGGAUCAUAGCCAUACCUGGAGGUCCACCUUUGCAAUAUCCACGUCAGUUAUGAGUAACUGUCGAUUGCAAUCAUUUACUUUGAGGAAAUUAGAGUGUUCAAAGCAGACAGACCGUCUUGAAUACAUUAGCAUGGGAUAAUAAAACAUGUCCGUCUCUGCAUGUUUAUUGGUUCUGCAGUUUAUGGAAAUGAUCAAUAGGAACAGUUGUGACCGAUCGUACUUGGAGGCUAGAGGUGAAAUUCUGUGACCCUCCAAAGACGAACAAGAGCGAAGGCAUUCGGUAAGGAUGUUUUCUUUGAUCAAGAACGAA